rnacentral:rRNA from 1 species
UACGGGGGGGGCAAGCGUUGUUCGGAAUUACUGGGCGUAAAGGGCUCGUAGGUGGCCAACUAAGUCAGACGUGAAAUCCCUCGGCUUAACCGGGGAACUGCGUCUGAUACUGGAUGGCUUGAGUUCGGGAGAGGGAUGCGGAAUUCCAGGUGUAGCGGUGAAAUGCGUAGAUAUCUGGAGGAACACCGGUGGCGAAGGCGGCAUCCUGGACCGAUACUGACACUGAGGAGCGAAAGCGUGGGUAGCAAACAGG